rnacentral:rRNA from 1 species
GACGAACGCUGGCGGCGUGCUUAACACAUGCAAGUCGAACGAGAUCCAAUGUGUAGCCAUACUCCGGAAGAUCUAGUGGCGAACGGGUGAGGAACACGUGAGAAACGUACCCCAGACUUUGGGAUAACAGUCCGAAAGGACUGCUAAUACCAAAUAACGUCGGAAGUCCGCAUGGACAUCUGACGAAAGGGAUUCCGGUUUGGGAGCGUCUCGCGGACCUAUCAGCUAGUUGGAGGGGUAACGGCCCACCAAGGCAACGACGGGUAGCUGGUCUGAGAGGGUGGUCAGCCACACUGGGACUGAGACACGGCCCAGACUCCUACGGGAGGCAGCAGUGGGGAAUCUUGCGCAAGGGGCGAAAGCCUGACGCAGCAACGCCGCGUGCGGGAAGAAGGCUUUCGGGCUGUAAACCGCUUUCAGUAGGAACGAAACUGACGGUACCUACAGAAGAAGGAGCGGCCAACUAUGUG